AUGUCUACCUGUGUGGCGAGAGAAGACAGGCAGAAGAGACGUACUCUGGUGCUGAGGCCCUCUUCUCGAACAAUUAGUAUUUCAGUAUCAGGUAUACAUGGAGUCAACCAAAGCGCCGUCGGCUCCCCGAGCAGGAAACGUUUCAGUCUGGGCGGUGGCAGCAAAGUUCUGGAGAAGAGCGUCGUUCACACUCCGAGACAAGCUGUUCGGCUGCGGAGUAGCAUAAGAAUUUCUGGGCUCACGAGUGCUCCCUACCUUGAGGCAAGAGAACUGCCUGCCUCACCCAGUGCCUCUUCAAUGCCAUUGUAAGAUCGCUGAGCACACGAAACAGGUUACACACAUAUAUUUUAUACAUGUGACUAUGAGAAAUCCGAUCUGGUCCGAUUUUAGUCAAACUAAGAUGUAUACAUGCAUCUUAAAAAUCCCAUCAUAGUCGGACUAACACAGUAAUUCGGUUUUCUUGAGUGUCAUGUAAACGCACUGAGCGACAUGCUGUCAUUGCAUUGCAGAGCACAGUUUGUGAGGGAUUGCGCAAUCCAAGGUGAGGCUCAGCUUGCUGCUGCCUCACCGUGCGUCU
rnacentral:lncRNA from 1 species